rnacentral:rRNA from 1 species
CGUCAAAUCAUCAUGCCCUAUAUGUCCUGGGCAACACACGUACUACAAUGGCUACAACAGAGAGAAACGAAUACGCGAGUAGGAGUAAAACUAAGAAAAGUAGUCUCAGUUCGGAUUGAAGGCUGAAAUUCGCCUUCAUGAAGUCGGAAUUGCUAGUAAUUGCAGGUCAGCAUACUGCAGUGAAUACGUUCCCGGCUCUU